UUCUUGCAAAUGGUCAAUUGGUCCAAAUCAUUUGGUUGCGUAAGGGAAGGCUUUUAUUCAAGUGGGUCAAGAGGUUCAAAAUCCAUGAUCUUUUAAAGUGGUUUACUCUCAAAACAAGUAGCUUUGACAUUGCACAUAAUAUAUCUAAGAAAGGGACCAACUCAUGCAUACAAUGUUCAAUCUCCAUUGUUCUACCCUUUUCCCAAACGUACAAGUUACACAAUCACUUUCCAAUGUCAAACUCAACUCCCAUCUCUCACCAAAAGAUCCCAAGA
rnacentral:lncRNA from 1 species